CCUCCAUGUUGGUUUGCUGAUAGGAGGGUCUACUCACAGAGGAGGCUGGAAAUAAUCAGGCAGCUCUCUUCUGUUUGCAGUCAUCGUCUGUUACCAUCAUGAUUAGACUCCUCUUACAUUUAGCAGCUCUGCCGUUCUGUUUAACAGAACUCUCAAAAAACAGUGUUCAACAGACUCCCACUGCCCUGAUCAAACAUGCUGGAGAAGAAGUCCUGAUGACCUGCAACCAUUCAAACACUAAUUUUAACAUGAUGCAGUGGUACAAACAGUCUGCUGGAAAAAAAGAUAUGGCUCUAAUUGGUUAUGUACUUGUCACGUCUGAAAUUGAAGAUCAAUUUAAAGACUUUUGUGAAAUCACCGGUAACGGGGGAAGUCUGUCAAGUCUGAAGAUUGCAAAGAGUCGAUCUGAAGACAGCGCAGUGUAUUUCUGUGGUGCCAGUAGAGCACAGUGGUACAGAAAUCCUCCUUCUUCUACAAAAACCUCCUCAGACACAGCAGGUUACACAAUAACAAAAAUCACCACAUGAAGCAAAAACUAACCACACUGUGAAUGUUUGAUAUCAGACAGCUGGUUCACCACCAGGCAGUUAGAUUCUUAUUUUAUCCGUUAGGGUGCAGUGUUUCUCCACAGAUCUGUUGAUAUGUCAUCUUUUCUUUUCUGUCCACUUUAACUACAAGAUUUAGUGGAUGUGAUGAGCAGUUCAGUGCAUCUCUAAGAGGAGGGACUUGGACGUUUUCUUCACACCUCCAUCACCCAUCUUGGUUCUCUUAUUGGAGGACUUACUUUCAUAAAAUUAGGAGGGAAUCAUCAGCAUACAUGCAUGGAUAGUGAUGAAAACAGCAGCAGAAACAAGACUGAGUUUAAAUUCAGUCAGAAAACACAACAUGUUGAUCGCCGUCUGCUGCAUCACCUUGAAUGUUAUCAUGGUUUCAGGUUCUUCUCCAAGUAACGAAGUCAAACAGAUUCCAGCCCAGAUGUUCUACAAACCUCAAGAAACAGCCAAAAUAACCUGUUCGCACAGUAUUCAAAGCUAUAAUCAAAUCUUUUGGUACAAGACGUCAAAGAACAGACAGC